rnacentral:pre_miRNA from 1 species
AACUGCCGACAACUCCGGCUUUAACAAUGAUUUAACAGAGUGAUGUUAUAACUUCUGAGAUCAUUGUGAAAGCUGAUUUUGUCGG